UACGAGGGGGGCAAGCGUUGUUCGGAAUUAUUGGGCGUAAAGGGUGCGUAGGCGGUUUUGUAAGUCUUGUGUGAAAUCUUCAGGCUCAACUUGAAGACUGCUCGAGAAACUGCAGGGCUUGAGUGUGGGAGAGGUGAGUGGAAUUCCUGGUGUAGCGGUGAAAUGCGUAGAUAUCAGGAGGAACACCGGUGGCGAAGGCGGGUCUCUGGGCAGUAACUGACGCUGAGGAGCGAAAGCGUGGGGAGCGAACAGG
rnacentral:rRNA from 1 species